UACGUAGGGUCCAAGCGUUAUCCGGAAUUACUGGGCGUAAAGCGUGUGUAGGCGGCGCGUUAAGUGCAAUGCGAAAUCUUGCGGCUCAACCGUAUAGACUGUGUUGCAUACUGGCGUGCUCGAGGACGUGAGAGGCAAGUGGAAUUUGUAGUGUAGCAGUGAAAUGCGUAGAUAUUACAAGGAACACCAAUGGCGAAGGCAGCUUGCUGGCACGUAUCUGACGCUGAGACACGAAAGCGUGGGGAGCGAACAGG
rnacentral:rRNA from 1 species